rnacentral:lncRNA from 1 species
AUUAGAUUGGCUUGGAGCUUGACAGUGUUGAACGGAAGUAAUUAAGACUUCAAGAUCUGUUUCAACGAUUUCCAUUGCUAAUUAGACUAUGGGAAAAUGCUUCAAAAUACAAGAUGGAGAAGACCCAGAAAGGAUUAGAAUCCUCUCGAUGUGCUAUUUAAAAGGUGUGCCUCAUGGAUGUUGGAGCCCAUUGCCACCAGGCAGGGAUCCUUUCCCAGUGACAGUUCCAGCUCUGAAAGAUCCAUCACAACUCGUGCUGGCCUCAGCUCAGAUUUGCUGCCUUCAAAGUGUCCCCAGCUGUGCUCUGCCUUUGAAUGUGCCCCCGACAGCUCUCUCUGUGGAGAACAGAAGGCAACUGCUUGCCUCAGGAGGGAGAAUUUAACUGGCCGAACUUGAUACAUGCCCUCGCACUGCCAUGAUCUCUGUUAGAGGUGCCCACGUGCAGUGAGCAAUUGUAAGGCCAGAUCUGCUGUGCCGGUGCCUCUGUGCCCUGGCGAGCAUUCUUACUGCCUUGGCAUUCUAACAUAAAUGUCUUCUCGAACAAGGUAUCAGUCUCAGCAAGGAAAACUUAAGGAUGCGUCUUCAGCUGAUAGGGCAAAACUCAAAAAUUGUUCUACA